UACGUAGGGUCCGAGCGUUGUCCGGAAUUAUUGGGCGUAAAGGGCUCGUAGGCGGUUCGUCACGUCGGGAGUGAAAACUCGGAGCUUAACUCCGAGCCUGCUUCCGAUACGGGCAGACUAGAGGUAGGCAGGGGAGAGCGGAACUCCUGGUGUAGCGGUGGAAUGCGCAGAUAUCAGGAGGAACACCGGUGGCGAAGGCGGGUCUCUGGGCCGAUACUGACGCUGAGGCGCGAAAGCUAGGGGAGCAAACAGG
rnacentral:rRNA from 1 species